GGUCCACUUGUACAACAGCUUACUUUUCACAGUGGAGAUGGACAUUAUAGAUGCAGUGAAUAUGGGGAAAUUUUUAGCCACAGAAAUAGGCUUAUCCAGCACCAGAGCAUCCUGCAGCCUAGUUCUGCAGCCAAAGCUCUGGCCUUAUUUUUCACCAGAGUAGAGCAAGUGCCAGUGGACACAGUGGACAUUGCCCUGUGGGGAAUGCUUUAAUCAUUAUUCUGACCUUGCUGAACACCACAGGUGUCACAUUACCCCAGAGCAUUAUACAUGCAGUGGAUAUGAGAAAGCCUUUAGCAGGGCGUGCAGAGUUGUUGGCAUCAUGAAAUCCACAGCACAGUAAGUCUUUAUGAAUUCAGUAGAUUCAGGAGAUAUUUUCCACAAAGCAACAUCAGAAAAUUCAUAGCGAGUUCAAACCUUUUAACUAUGGCAUACAUGAGCAAUUCUUUAGCUAUAUAAACACCCUUGUUUGGAAUCAGAGAAUUCCCACAGGAAAAAUAUCGUAUUGGUUCACAGUAUUGGGCAAAUUCUUCAGCUAAAGGCCUAGCCCUAUUUCACAUCAACGAGUUCACACUGGUAGAAAGCCA
rnacentral:lncRNA from 1 species